rnacentral:rRNA from 1 species
CAGUAGCCGCGGGAAUACGUAGGUGGCAAGCGUUGUCCGGAAUUAUUGGGCGUAAAGCGCGCGCAGGCGGAUAGGUCAGUCUGUCUUAAAAGUUCGGGGCUUAGCCCCGUGAUGGGAUGGAAACUGCCAAUCUAGAGUAUCGGAGAGGAAAGUGGAAUUCCUAGUGUAGCGGUGAAAUGCGUAGAUAUUAGGAAGAACACCAGUGGCGAAGGCGACUUUCUGGACGAAAACUGACGCUGAGGCGCGAAAGCCAGGGGAGCGAACGGGAUUAGAUACCCCAGUAGUCCCUGUCUCUUAUACA